AUGACCGUACUUGAACAGGAUCUGUUCUAUAGGUCAUACACCUGUCUGUGUUCUUUAACUCAGACAAGCUCCUCAACCCAGACGAAGAGAUAGAAUCCCUGCACCUGAGCGCAACGUAAGGCCGCAGUGGCCGUGCCGCUGGCACGGACGCGCGGCUCUGGAUGAACAUCCCUCCGAGCCUCAUUCCGCCGGUAGGGAUGGUGCCUGGGACAUUCAGAUGGGUU
rfam:Volvox carteri f. nagariensis unplaced genomic scaffold VOLCAscaffold_85, whole genome shotgun sequence.